rnacentral:rRNA from 1 species
AUUGAACGCUGGCGGCAGGCUUAACACAUGCAAGUCGAGCGGGGGAAGGUAGCUUGCUACCGGACCUAGCGGCGGACGGGUGAGUAAUGCUUAGGAAUCUGCCUAUUAGUGGGGGACAACAUCUCGAAAGGGAUGCUAAUACCGCAUACGUCCUACGGGAGAAAGCAGGGGAUCUUCGGACCUUGCGCUAAUAGAUGAGCCUAAGUCGGAUUAGCUAGUUGGUGGGGUAAAGGCCUACCAAGGCGACGAUCUGUAGCGGGUCUGAGAGGAUGAUCCGCCCCACUGGGACGGAGACACGGCCCAGACUCCUACGGGAGGCAGCAGUGGGGAAUAUUGGACAAUGGGGGGAACCCUGAUCCAGCCAUGCCGCGUGUGUGAAGAAGGCCUUAUGGUUGUAAAGCACUUUAAGCGAGGAGGAGGCUACUCUAGUUAAUACCUAGGGAUAGUGGACGUUACUCGCAGAAUAGGCACCGGCUAACUCUGUGCCAGCCGCCGCUGUAA